UACAGAGGUGGCAAGCGUUGUUCGGAAUUACUGGGCGUAAAGGCGCGUAGGCGGCCUUCUAAGUCAGACGUGAAAUCCCCCGGCUUAACCUGGGAACUGCGUCUGAUACUGGAGGGCUUGAGUGCGGGAGAGGGAUGUGGAAUUCCAGGUGUAGCGGUGAAAUGCGUAGAUAUCUGGAGGAACACCGGUGGCGAAGGCGGCAUCCUGGACCGACACUGACGCUGAGGCGCGAAAGCUAGGGUACACAGGG
rnacentral:rRNA from 1 species